rnacentral:rRNA from 1 species
UACGGAGGAUGCGAGCGUUAUCCGGAUUUAUUGGGUUUAAAGGGUGCGUAGGCGGGAUGCCAAGUCAGCGGUAAAAAUGCGGUGCUCAACGCCGUCGGGCCGUUGAAACUGGCGUUCUUGAGUGGGCGAGAAGUAUGCGGAAUGCGUGGUGUAGCGGUGAAAUGCAUAGAUAUCACGCAGAACUCCGAUUGCGAAGGCAGCAUACCGGCGCCCUACUGACGCUGAGGCACGAAAGCGUGGGUAUCGAACAGG